rnacentral:rRNA from 1 species
UGAAUACGAGACGCUAAGGCGUCGAAGUAGUGUAUGUCAUACUUCCAAGAAAAGCUUGCACUGUCAUAAAUAAGAAAUGCCUGUACCAUAACCGACACAGGUGGGUAAGUAGAGUAUACUAAGGGGCGCGAGAUAACUCUCUCUAAGGAACUCGGCAAAAUAACUCCGUAACUUCGGGAGAAGGAGUGCCUUAUUCUUAAGGUUGCAAUAACAAGAUCCAAGCAACUGUUUAUCAAAAACACAGGUCUCCGCUAAGUCGUAAGACGAUGUAUGGGGGCUGACGCCUGCCCAGUGCCAGAAGGUUAAAGAAGUCGGUUAGCAAUUGCGAAGCUGGUAACUGAAGCCCUGGUGAACGGCGGCCGUAACUAUAACGGUCCUAAGGUAGCGAAAUUCCUUGUCGGGUAAGUUCCGACCCGCACGAAAGGCGUAAUGAUUUGGAUGCUGUCUCGGAGAGAGGCUCGGUGAAAUAGACUUGUCUGUGAAGAUGCGGACUACCUGCACCAGGACAGAAAGACCCUAUGAAGCUUUACUGUAACUUGAAAUUGAAAUUGGACUUUACUCGCGCAGUAUAGGUGGGAGGCGUUGAUUAUAAUCUCGUGGGAUUAUUGGAGCCAUCAGUGAGAUACCACUCUUGUAAUGUUAGAUUUCUAACUUUGAAUCAUUAUCUGGUCAAAGGACAGUUUCAGGCGGGCAGUUUGACUGGGGCGGUCGCCUCCUAAACGGUAACGGAGGCGUACAAAGGUUUCCUCUGAACGGUUAGAAAUCGUAUCUAGAGUGUAAAGGCAUAAGGAAGCUUGACUGUGAGACCUACAAGUCGAGCAGGGACGAAAGUCGGUCUUAGUGAUCUGACGGUACUGAGUGGAAAGGCCGUCACUCAACGGAUAAAAGUUACUCUAGGAUAACAGGCUGAUCUCCCCCAAGAGUUCACAUCGACGGGGAGGUUUGGCACCUCGAUGUCGGCUCAUCGCAUCCUGGGGCGGUAGUACGUCCAAGGGUUGGGCUGUUCGCCCAUGAAAGCGGUACGCGAGCUGGGUUCAGAACGUCGUGAGACAGUUCGGUCCAUAUCCGGUGUAGGCGCUAGAAUAUUGAGAGGAGCCUUCUUUAGUACGAGAGGACCGAGAAGGACAUACCUCUGGUGUACCAGUUAUCGUGCCAACGGUAAACGCUGGGUAGCUAUGUAUGGAGUGGAUAACCGCUGAAAGCAUCUAAGUGGGAAGCCCACCUCAAGAUAAG